UUUAUCCUAUCGGCUUUAGCCCACCCACUCACCAUGUGCACUGUCCAUAACACACACGCACUGCUGCAUAAAACAUACUUUUCCUCUUGGGAAUGUGGAUCAGUUUGCUUCCAGAUGUUUCGCUAUAACGGCCUUGACAAUGUGAGCGGCGAGGAAAAAUGCUUCCAGGAGAAGGAUUCAUGUUUCACACACAAUUUCCUCUCGGUCCUUCCAAAUAACUGUAAAUGGGUUCAGAUACAUUUCUGCCGGAUGCCCUUCGGUUAGGGUGAUUGUAAUCAAUGAGAUGCCCACGUUAUCAGACAGCUGUUUCUUGGUACGUUUUUUCUCAACAUCCAAGCCCUGGAAUGUUGAACAAACACAAACACAAAAAGAAAUGAAUGACAAAAGACUUUGUCAACUCAUGUACACGUUUUGUUUCCACACACACUCAAACCCUGGCAACAGAAAAGGUUGCUGAGUCGUACUCUUUUCUAACAGGCACUAAUUGCCAGAUGUCCCUGUCUGUCUGCUAUUUUCCUGCUCGGCGCUCCUCAUCUUACCGACUUUGCCUUUUAAAAGCCAUUGCUGAGGUCGCCGAGCUAAAGACUUUUAGGACACAGGAAAACAACCAACUCACAGACUCAGGCUGGAAGACCCUGUGCAGCAGCCCACCGGGCCUCUGCAGACUCCAGGCUGCAUCCCUUAUGGUAGGGUGUAUAAGGGAUGGACGGGGGGAGUACAGGCCAGUAGUGGAGGACUUUGUGGUGUGGGCGGGCAGAAAUCACCUGCUCCUGAACGUGGCCAAGACCCGAGAGAUGGUGGUCGACUUCGGGAGGAAGACGACGGCUCCGCUACCGCUGAGGGUUCUGGGAGAGGAGGUGGUCAUAGUCGAGGACUACAAGUACCUGGGUGUCUCCAUCGACAACAGACUGAACUGGAAGACCAACAUGAACGCCGUCUACAGGAAGCGGAUGAGUCGACUCUUUUUCCUGAGGAAGCUUUGAUCCUUCCAUGUGUGCAGCAAGAUGUUGGAGAUGUUCUAUGAGUCUGUUGUGGCCAGUGCUUUGUACUUCGCCGUGGUCUGCUGGGGGAGCAGCAUUGGAGCCGGUGACACCAACAGACUUAACAAACUUGUUAAGAAGGCCGGCUCCAUCAUUGGCUGCAAACAGGACAGCUUGGAAAAGGUGUUGGAGGGGAGGUCACUGAAGAAACUGUUAUCCGUAUUGGAUAAUCCUGACCACCACCUGCUACAGGGACAGCGGAGCACGUUCUCCAACAGACUCCUUCAGCUCCGCUGUCACAAGGACCGAUACAGGAGAUCAUUCCUGCCCAGUGCAAUAACACUCUACAAUAAAUCAUCCCAGGCUAAAUAAUGACAAUAAUAACCCUGUACUGCUGUUAUGUUGCUGCUCUUCUGAUCGAUCGAUCUAUCUAUCUAUCUAUCUAUCUAUCUAUCUAUCUAUCUAUCUAUCUAUCUAUCUAUCUAUCUAUCUAUCUAUCUAUCUAUCCAUCUAUCUAUCUAUCUAUCCAUCUAUCUAUCUAUCUAUCUAUCUAUCUAUCUAUCUAUCUAUCUAUCUAUCUAUCUAUCUAUCUAUCUAUCUAUCUAUCUAUCCAUCUAUCUAUCUAUCUAUCCAUCCAUCUAUCUAUCUAUCUAUCUAUCGAUCUAUCUAUCUAUCUAUCUAUCUAUCUAUCUAUCUAUCUAUCUAUCCAUCUAUCUAUCUAUCUAUCUAUCUAUCUAUCUAUCUAUCUAUCUAUGACGGACACAACGUCAUAGAUAGAUAGAUAACAACCUCAACAACCUGCACAGCCUGGACCUUUCUCUUUGCAACACGUUUGUGUGUUUUUUGCUGCCGUAGUACAUUCUAUGUGUGCUGAUGAUAUUACGUGGCGUAAUGGGUAGACUACGUGUAUUUUGGGGUGUGUAAUGCUGGAGGUUCCUCAUCCACCAAACCGAGAGAGCUGCAGUCUCAUCACAGACACAUGUGUAAUGAGGAUUGCGCAAAGGUAUGUGGUAUGACUUCACACACCACACAGACUCAUCGCGUGGCGCUUUGAUGAAGAGUCUAACGUAGCGGCUUUCUGUUUGUUUGUGUGUGUUAAUCGGAUUGUGUAAACCGUAUCAUCUCAACUUGAGUUAUUGUGAGGGACUGACUGAUGAGAGUGUCGAGUGGUUGAGUGGCAGCUCCGUUGGCUCUCUCGACACGAGCGGUUGCAACGUCAUGGAUCAG
ensembl:lncRNA